rnacentral:tRNA from 1 species
GCAGGGAUCCCAUAGUGGCAAUUGGACUGGAUUCAGGUUCCAGUGGCUUAGUGCCUUCGGGGGUUCGAGUCCUCCUCCCUGCA